rnacentral:tRNA from 1 species
UCCCUGGAGGCUCAGUGGUAAAGAAUCUGCCUGCUAAGCAGGAGACAUGGGUUCGAUCCCUGGGUAGGGAA